AGAGUUUGAUCAUGGCUCAGAUUGAACGCUGGCGGCAUGCUUAAUACAUGCAAGUCGAACGGUAACAGAUUCUUCGGAAUGCUGACGAGUGGCGGACGGGUGAGUAAUACAUAGGAAUCUGCCCAUGUAGUGGGGGACAACUUGGGGAAACUCAAGCUAAUACCGCAUAAUUCCUACGGGAUAAAGAGGGCCACUGCUUGCAAGCUCUUGCUACUGGAUGAGCCUAUGUCGGAUUAGUUAGUUGGUAAGGUAAUGGCUUACCAAGACAGCGAUCCGUAGCUGGUUUGAGAGGAUGAUCAGCCACACUGGGACUGAGACACGGCCCAGACUCCUACAGGAGGCAGCAGUAGGGAGUAUUGGACAAUGGGCGCAAGCCUGAUCCAGCAAUGCCGCGUGUGUGAAGAAGGCCUGCGGGUUGUAAAGCACUUUCAAUUGGGAAGAAAGAUUAUGAGUUAAUACCUUAUAAUAUUGACG
rnacentral:rRNA from 1 species